rnacentral:rRNA from 1 species
GAACGAGGAUAUAUCCUUCGGGGUAUAAGCCGAGUGGCGCAAGGGUGAGUAAUGCAUAGAUUACCUGCCUCUAGGAUAAGGACAACUUUGUGAAAACGAAGCUAAUACUUAAUAAUACAAAAGAAAAUAAUUUUCUUUUGUCAAUGGGAGGGUAGCAAUACCUUUUGCCUAGAGAGGGGUUUAUGUCCUAUCAGCUUGUUGAUGGGGUAAUGGCCUACCAAGGCGAAGACGGGUAGCCGGUCUUAGAGGAUGGUCGGCCACACUGGGACUGAGACACUGCCCAGACUUCUACGGAAGGCUGCAGUCGAGAAUCUUUCGCAAUGCCCGAAAGGGUGACGAAGCGACGCCGCGUGAGUGAGGAAGGCCUUAGGGUUGUAAAGCUCUGUCAGGAGUUAAGAAAUAUAAGUGUGUUAAUACCACAUUUAUUUGACGAAGGCUCCAAAGGAAGCCACGGCUAACUCUGUGCCAGCAGCCGCGGUAAUACAGAGGUGGCAAGCGUUGUUCGGAAUUAUUGGGCGUAAAGAGCACGUAGGUGGGUUUGUAAGUCAGAUGUGAAAGCCUUCUGUUCAACGGAAGAAUUGCAUCUGAAACUGCAAGUCUUGAGUGUAGGAGGGGAGAAUGGAACUUCUGGUGGAGCGGUGAAAUGCGUAGAUAUCAGAAGGAACGCCGGCGGCGAAAGCGAUUCUCUGGCCUAUUACUGACACUCAGUGUGCGAAAGCUAGGGGAGCAAACGGGAUUAGAUACCCCGGUAGUCCUAGCCGUAAACGAUGGGCACUAAGUAGAGGGGAUUACCGAUGUUCUCUCUGCCGUAGCUAACGCAUUAAGUGCCCCGCCUGGGGAGUACGGCCGCAAGGCUAAAACUCAAAAGAAUUGACGGGGGCUCGCACAAGCGGUGCAGCAUGUGGCUUAAUUCGAUGCAACGCGAAAAACCUUACCGGGGCUUGACAUGGUAGAAGUAGGAACCCGAAAGGGUAACGAACGGUAUCCAGUCCGUAGCUAUCACAGGUGUUGCAUGGCUGUCGUCAGCUCGUGUCGUGAGACGUUGGGUUAAGUCCCCUAACGAGCGAAACCCUUGUUUUUAGUUACCAGCGGGUUAUGCCGGGUACUCUAGAAAGACUGCCGUCGUCAAGACGGAGGAAGGUGGGGAUGACGUCAAGUCAUCAUGGCCCUUAUGCCCCGGGCUGCACACGUGCUACAAUGGUCGGUACAAACGGAAGCGAAGCCGAGAGGUGGAGCGAAUCCUAAAAAGCCGAUCUCAGUUCGGAUUGGAGGCUGAAAUUCGCCUCCAUGAAGUUGGAAUCGCUAGUAAUCGCGGAUCAGCAUUGCCGCGGUGAAUAUGUUCCCGAGCCUUGUACACACCGCCCGUCAAGCCACCCAAGCAGGAUGCACCCGAAAACAUUAUAUCUAACCAGGUUUACCUGGAGGAAAGUGUUGAAGGAGUGUUUUGUGA